GCGGGCGGGCGGGCGGCCCCGGCAGCACGAGCAGCGGGAGGCACCCACCGAGGGGGACGCCAAGAGUGAGGGGCGAAAAGUGUGAAAAGAAGCAACAGCCGCUCCCCCCUCGCGAGCAAAAAAAGAGAGAGAGCGAGAGAGAGAGGAAAAGAAAAGAAAAGUGGCCGUCCUGCCUGCCUGCCGGCUGCCUGCGCCCGGGGAUGCGGCGGCGGCGGCGGCGGCGGCUAACGGUCCAGGGAGGCGGCGGGGCGGCAGGAGCCGCUAGGCGGAGAGACCAGCGGCGCUCGCUCUACGGCCGGAACCUUGUUGCUAGGGACGGGACGGUUUGCGGCAGCUCGGGACGCUGACGGAGUUUGAAUUGGGAAGCGAGGGAAAAGUUUUGCUCAGAGAAAGAGGGAGAGAAUGGACGUUCCAGGGCCUCCAGCCACUGCAAAGGAACUUCAGACAUGUGUGCCUCCUUGUGCAUCUGGCUAACGUGGGUCCUGGGGAAUCGAACCUGGGUCCUUUGGCUUUGCAGGCGAAUGCCUUAACCACUAAGCCAUCCCUUCAGCCCUUUGCUUUGGUUUUACAACAAUUUUGCUGUUUUAAGAGACCAAUUUGAACUGGCUAAAGCAAGAAGAUAGUACUCUGUAAAGAUAAGCUGUGGUUUUGUUUCUUAAUAGAAGGCCGAAGUAAGAACGAAGCCCAGUCUUCAGGGGAAGAAUCAGGCACCUCUGAGCAUAGAGGUGAUGUCUCUCAGCAUUUCCAUGGCCUGCUGCUGUGCAUGGAGGUAGGAUGGCCUCAGACACGCUGGGAGAACAUACUUCCAUAGACAUCCACCAUAGCAUCAUUCUUCAGGGCUCAGAGAAUCAAGCUUUCCUAGCACUGAUUAUGUUAUGCAUUGAAAGUUGUAUUAUGCAAUCAUCUUCCUAUGAACAGCUUAUAUAGUUAUAGUAAUAUCUAAUUUUGCCAUACAUAUAUGUAAUUAUGUGUAACUAAGUAUUCAGCUACUGUCACUUAACACAUCACAUUUUCUAAGCAUGUUGCCCUUUCUUACUGGACUGUAAUGUUCCUAUACUUGAUAAAUGUAAUUUACUGAACCAGUUUUAUAUUUUGCAGGUUUGAAUGACUUGUAUUUUCUUUUGUAAAGAAUGAAUACUGUUACCCUAUAAUUUUUGUUUUGAUUUGGCUUGUAGUCAUUUUAUGGGAGAUUUUCCCUCAAAACUGGAAUUGGCUAGUAACUGGAAUAAACGUGGCUCUUUCUUUUUAAAGGUAUUGUCAGAGUACUUUUGAAAAAACUUGUACUAAUAAGUGAAAUCACCAGAAAUAAAUGAGUUUUUUUUUAA